rnacentral:lncRNA from 10 species
UUAAAGGCUUAACACACCUAUACUAAUAUAGGAAGCAUUCAAAUUAUAGCUCAGGACAAUCAUAUUCCUGUUUCAGUUUGAACUUCUGGCCAUGUAGAUCCUGAAAUUUGACCCAGACCCUGUGCCCAGUUUUAUGCCAGCCCUAGGCCCCCUAGUAGUGUGCCCAGCUGUGACCUCUCACACAGAAGGAGGCAAAACAAUUAGCUUCUGGGGAGGUAUGAGCCAGUAAGGAGAUUCAGACAUUCAUAUGCCCCUCCAGGGCAAAGCUCAGCUUGCUGGGAUGGCAGGUGACAUUCUGGGUCGCUGCUAGCAAACUGAGAAGGCUUAGGGCCAGACAAGGAAGGUAAAUAUAUAACUGAACAGAGUGCAAGGCAGUAGGGCAUGGUGGGAACUGUGGCAAACAGCAGAGCAAAGGCCCUUCCUGCUCUACAGUUAUCGCCAGGCAGGAAUGUGGGCCCAGAAUGCACACUUCUUAUUUCUUAGAGCAAAACUGCAAGUUUAGUUUUUAAAAAUGUUUGGCCGGGCACGGUGGCUCACGCCUGUAAUCCCAGCACUUUGGGAGGCCGAAGUGGGCGGAUCAUGAGGUCAGGAUAUGGAGACCAUCUUGGCUAACAUGAAAUCCGUCUCUACUAAAAAUAAAAAAAAAUCAGCCGGGUCUGGUGACGUGGGCCCUGUAGUCCCAGCUACUUGGGAGGCUGAGGCAGGAGAAUCGCUUGAACCCAGGAGGUGGAGGUUGCAGCGAGCCAAGAUCGCCCCACUACACUCCAGCCUGGGCGAUAGAGCGAGACUCUGUCUCAAAAAAAUAAAUAAAUAAAUAAAAAUUAAAAAAUAAAAAUAAAAAUGUUUAAGUAAGAGUUAUUGCCUUUUAAAACCCUACAAUGGCCUAGUGAAAAAUAUCUGAAGCUGGAUUUGACCUGUGAGACAGCAGUUUGUGACCUGAUUCCACGUCAGUGUGUCCUGCAGACCAAGAAUGCCACAAAAUAGUCACUGAUAAAAGCAUCCCCUGGUCAAUACCACUGGGCAACUCAGCACUCUUAAUCCCCUCUGGGAAUCCCAGAGUUUAUUAGCAUAUUAAAGGCUCUGAAAAGGUCUGUAAGAAAGAGAUCUGAUUAACUUUGUGAAGACCAGAAGGGCAUUAGUGCUCCAUAGGACCUGUCGUGUGACAUAGCCCCUCAUAGAGCUGUGAUCUCUUCAGCGUGCUCACCAUUUCAAAGGGUCACAGGCCCCCGGAGGCCCAUCUCAGCCCUGAGUUAGGAACCUACCUCUUUCAUCUGCUAAUCUGACAAUAGUUAUGAAGCCUGUUUCUGGGACAGGCAUGGUGUGAGCACCAGGGACACAGUGAUGACCUGACAGGUGUAUGUCCCCUGCCCUGCUUUGUAGAGACCACACCUAAUGGCCCCUUUCUGUAGGUUUGCUCUCACCUCCAACUCCAGCCCUUCCAAUCGCACAGCAUUAAUGCACACAUAAAGGACUUGUCAGCCCAAAGCAGGCACUGGUGUUCUCUCCCAGAAGAGCCAGGUUCUAUCCUGGCUCUAUCCUGAACACACUGUGAGACAUCCAGUUUACAUUUAGCCAUCAUAUAUCUGCUGGGCAGCUACUAUGUCCAGGCACUGAGCUCAGUGCUAGGGACAAAGGCAAGAAGAGGAGAGACUCCAAGAGCUGGCUCUGGC